UCAGAAAAAAAGGAGAGGAAAAACAAGGAGGAACUCUCAUGUUUAGUUGGCAUUCCAUCAUAUUCUAGUUAGAAACAAGUCAAGGAGUUCAGAAUGUUGAAUAAGAAUAAAAGAGUAAAAGAUAAAUAAUGAUGGAACAGGGUGGAACAGAAAAUUUUAAGUUAUUAUGGAAAUUGCACCUAAGUAUUUGAAAAUUGAAGUCCAAUCCAUGAGUGGAAAAAUGUAAGCAAGCUCAUGGAGAAUUUUGCAUCUGUACUGAGAAAGGGUUAUGGAAGUGACAGCUCAUCAGAACUCAGGUCAUACUUUAUCUAGCGAAUCACAUCUACUGUGCAGCUUUAUUUCCCACUUAUUUGAUCUUGUUGGAUAUUGUUUAGGAAUUUGGUCUUUCUUUUUGGGCAUUGCCAUUUUUUAAUUACUUCUUAGAUAUUCAUAUUAAUCAGUUGUUAAUGGUAAGUAUUUCAUGAUCCACUUUUUCUAAGCCCAAUUCAGGGUAUCGUUUGGUUUGAACUAGCAAGGGGC
rnacentral:lncRNA from 1 species